GGCAGUGGUAGCUUAGUGUUUAGAAUGUUUGACUUCUGAUCACAAAGUUGUUAAUUCAAAUCCCAGCACUGCUA